rnacentral:rRNA from 1 species
UACGGGGGGGGCAAGCGUUGUUCGGAAUUACUGGGCGUAAAGGGCUUGUAGGUGGCCAACUAAGUCAGACGUGAAAUCCCUCGGCUUAACCGGGGAACUGCGUCUGAUACUGGAUGGCUGGAGUGUGGGAGAGGGAUGCGGAAUUCCAGGUGUAGCGGUGAAAUGCGUAGAUAUCUGGAGGAACACCGGUGGCGAAGGCGGCAUCCUGGACCAUUACUGACGCUGAGGAGCGAAAGCCAGGGGAGCAAACGGG